rfam:Oryza glaberrima chromosome 11 Oglab11_0056_6, whole genome shotgun sequence.
UAUAAGGGAUUUUGAGUUUUUGCUUGUAACGUUUGACCACCCGUCUUAUUCAAAAAAUUUUGAAAUUAUUAAUUAUUUUAUUUGUGACUUACUUUAUUAUCUAUAGUACUUUAAGCACAACUUUUUGUUUUUUAUAUUUGCAAAAGAAAUUUGAAUAAGACGAGUGGUCGAACGUUGCAAGCAAAAACUGAAAAUCCCUUAUA